rnacentral:lncRNA from 1 species
AUAUCUGCACAGAGCGAAGGUGCUGGAACAAGGCCUUCCUGCUUGUGAUUGAGAGAGACGCUGUCCAACUCCAGAUCCCCACACUGGCUCUGACACAUGCUGCAAAUAAGGCGGCUUCUGAGGGACUGUCCAUUUCUUAUUUUACCUCAUUUGGUUAAACCACACAAGCUCCGAGCUUGGAACUUCCGUUUUCUUAUCUCGAACAUCGCGUACUGUUCCAGCCCACAGCCAGCCACCCAGGAAGGAAGCAUUUUGUUCCUUUUGGACAGACAGCCUGGCUGGCCAUAUGGCCACGCGAUUGAAAGCUCUGGUUCCAUGUGACAAGAUAACUGCCAAGAACUCCUGCCUCUUGUCCUUUUCUAUUGGAGCUCUGGUGAAAAAGGAGAGAAUUUUAUUCUUCUCU